GUAGGUGGCAAGCGUUGUCCGGAAUUAUUGGGCGUAAAGCGCGCGCAGGUGGUUCGUUUAAGUCUGAUGUGAAAGACCCCCGGGCUCAACCGGGGAGGGUCAUUGGAAACUGGGGAACUUGAGUGCAGGAGAGGAAAGUGGAAUUCCACGUGUAGCGGUGAAAUGCGUAGAUAUGUGGAGGAACACCAGUGGCGAAGGCGACUUUCUGGCCUGUAACUGACACUGAGGCGCGAAAGCGUGGGGAGCAAACAGGAUUAGAUACCCUGGUAGUCCACGCCGUAAACGAUGAGUGCUAAGUGUUCGGGGGGUUUCCGCCCCUCAGUGCUGCAGCUAACGCAUUAAGCACUCCGCCUGGGGAGUACGGUCGCAAAGACUG
rnacentral:rRNA from 1 species